ACUAUAGUGAAAAAAAAUCCGAACAAAGAAUCCAUGGUGGUGGAAUUUCGGAUCAAUAUAAGUGGCGGAGUUGGGAUUGGUUCUUGGUGCAAAAGCAAGAGCAAAAGAUCAUCUCUAUCCGUAUCCUAGCUUUGGUGGUCCGCAGAACAGGUGGUUAAGAAUAGGGAGAAACAAGGGUUAGGUGGCAGAGGAGGCAGUGAAAUCCGGCCAAAUCUCGACGCAAUUUUUCUUGCCGAUUGCUGGUGCGUAGUAAGAUCGUAGCUGAAUCCGUAGGACGGGCGCUAAUCGGAGGAACUUGCAUCGAUUCUUGCGUGCUGACGGUACCGGCAAGGCGGCAAGAUAAGAGUUGGUGCCUGCCGAUUGCAGGGACAGGGACGGUGUUUGUGGAAUUGCCUCCUUGGAGGAGGCUGGUGAGAGGGAGAAAGGAUGACGAUGCCAUGGGGUCUCGCGGCCUGCAUCGUGGACAUGGUGUGGGCGGUGCUCGCCGGCUGGGUGUCCACCUGCCUGGUCAUCGCCAACGAGGUCGCCCGCGGCAUGCGCAGUGGCGAGAUCGGUCCGUUCGUUGUCGGCUGAGUUAUUCGAUCGGCUUUAGGUGGCUCAGUUGUUCCUGCAUUCUCGAUAGUGUAUUUUUCGUACCGGUACAUUUCAUACACAUCGCUAUGCUGUACAGACGGCGUUGAGGACUGGAGGAUGACUUUUGUUUCUAGGAUUUUGAGUUGUAGUGAGUGUUUGUGCAAUCACACAAGAACAAACAUGUGAAUAUGUGAUGUACUUUCAGUGGUAUAUAAACGGGAUGGUCCUAUAAAAUAA